rnacentral:rRNA from 1 species
GGAUUAGAUACCCUGGUAGUCCACGCCGUAAACGAUGUCUACUAGCCGUUGGGAGACUUGAUCUUUUAGUGGCGCAGCUAACGCGAUAAGUAGACCGCCUGGGGAGUACGGCCGCAAGGUUAAAACUCAAAUGAAUUGACGGGGGCCCGCACAAGCGGUGGAGCAUGUGGUUUAAUUCGACGCAACGCGAAGAACCUUACCUACACUUGACAUCCAGAGAACUUUCUGGAGAUAGAUUGGUGCCUUCGGGAGCUCUGAGACAGGUGCUGCAUGGCUGUCGUCAGCUCGUGUUG